rnacentral:rRNA from 1 species
AACGCGAAGAACCUUACCAGGUCUUGACAUCUCCUGACAACCCUAGAGAUAGGGCGUUCCCCUUCGGGGGACAGGAUGACAGGUGGUGCAUGGUUGUCGUCAGCUCGUGUCGUGAGAUGUUGGGUUAAGUCCCGCAACGAGCGCAACCCUUGAUCUUAGUUGCCAGCAUUCAGUUGGGCACUCUAAGGUGACUGCCGGUGACAAACCGGAGGAAGGUGGGGAUGACGUCAAAUCAUCAUGCCCCUUAUGACCUGGGCUACACACGUGCUACAAUGGAUGGUACAAAGGGCUGCAAGACCGCGAGGUUAAGCGAAUCCCAUAAAACCAUUCUCAGUUCGGAUUGCAGGCUGCAACUCGCCUGCAUGAAGCCGGAAUCGCUAGUAAUCGCGGAUCAGCAUGCCGCGGUGAAUACGUUCCCGGGCCUUGUACACACCG